ACGUAGGGAGCGAGCGUUGUCCGGAAUUACUGGGCGUAAAGGGCGCGUAGGCGGGUAAUUAAGUCAGAUGUGAAAGCCCCGGGCUUAACUUGGGGAGUGCAUUUGAGACUGGUUAUCUUGAGGGCAGGAGAGGAGAGUGGAAUUCCUAGUGUAGGAGUGAAAUGCGGAGAUCUUAGGAGGACCACCAGUGGCGAAGGCGUCUUACUGGACUGUCCCUGACGCUGAGGGGCGAAAGCUUGGGGAGCAAACGG
rnacentral:rRNA from 1 species